AACUUUCAACAACGGAUCUCUUGGUUCUGGCAUCAAUGAAAAA
rnacentral:rRNA from 1 species